GGAGGUAAAAGUCGUAACAAGGUCUCCGUUGGUGAACCAGCGGAGGGAUCAUUACCGAGUUGUACCAACUCCCAAACCCCUGUGAACAUACCGCACGUUGCUUCGGCGGACCGCCCCGGCGCCCGACCCCCCCGGGGGGACGGCCCGGACCCAGGCGCCCGCCGGGGGACCCAAACUCUUGCCUUCGCCGCCGGCGGAAUCUCCCUCUGAGUAACCAAACAAAUGAAUCAAAACUUUCAACAACGGAUCUCUUGGUUCUG
rnacentral:misc_RNA from 1 species